UACGUAGGCGGUUUAGUGUGUUGAGUGUGAAAGCCCAAGGCUUAACCUUGGAAUUGCAUUCAAAACUGCUAGACUUGAGUAUAAUAUGGGAUGGCGGAAUUUCUAGUGUAGGGGUGAAAUCCGUAGAUAUUAGAAGGAACACCAACGGUGAAGACAGCUAUCUAGAUUAUAACUGACGCUGAGGUACGAAAGCGUGGGGAGCAAACAGGAUUAGAUACCCUGGUAGUCC
rnacentral:rRNA from 1 species